GAUGAACGCUGGCGGCGUGCUUAACACAUGCAAGUCGAACGCUGAAGCUUGGUGCUUGCACUGGGUGGGUGAGUGGCGAACGGGUGAGUAAUACGUGAGUAACCUGCCCUUGACUCUGGGAUAAGCCUGGGAAACUGGGUCUAAUACUGGAUAUGACAUGCCACUGCAUGGUGGUGUGUGGAAAGGGUUUUAGUGGGUUUGGAUGGGCUGACGGCCAAACAGCUUGUUGGUGGGGUAAUGGCCUACCAAGGCGAAGACGGGUAGCCGGCCUGAGAGGGGGACCAGCGACACUGGGACUGAGGGAGGGCCCAGACGGCUACGGGAGGCAGCGGGGGGAAGCAUUGCACAGUGGGCGGAAGCGUGAGACGGAGGCGCCGCGUGAGGGAUGACGGCCUUCGGGUUGUGAACCUCUUUCAGCACGGAAGAAGCGAGAGUGACGGUACGUGCAGAAGAAGCGCCGGCUAACUACGUG
rnacentral:rRNA from 1 species